UAGCCUCCCUGGGGAUAGCCUCCCUGGGGCUGGCUCCUGGGAACAAGCUUUUCUCUCACGGGAUUUGGAGAAUCAAUGGCCUACAAGCAUCCAAACUACACUUCAUUUCCAACGGGGGGGAAAAAAAGAAAGAGUCCUUUGUAGGGCAAACUUUUUAUUCGUAUUACACGCACCCCCGUCUCCACCACUCCACCGAAAACAAGAAAACACCUGAGCUGACAGACUAGUGGAUCCUACGAAGGCAAAGGCCCCCCGGUACCCCCAAGACUAGGGAUGUCCCAAUCUGCACAGAGCUGCCCUAGGGGCUGGGGAGCCAAAGUGAGCUGCUGAGGCACGAGAGUGUGACCUUCUGGUCUGCCCCCAAGGGUCGAGAGCCUCAGCUGGGCCCACAGUGCGCUCAAGGACGAAGGAUGGGCCCAGAGUACCCUCAACUACACAACUCACUGGAUGUGCCAAUGAGAUCUGUCACCUGAACCCAGCAAGCAGAGUAACAGGCAAGCGAGGAAAGGGGGCUCGCCCACUUCACACAAGACCAGCUGCUAGGGCAUACCUGGCCCCAGGAUGGCCAGUGAGUACAUGAGGGGACGAGGCUCAAUGUAAAAUGCGGGCAUGUGGCCCCAAGCACCUGGGCGAGGCUGUCACCUUCUGUAGAGACUGGUGCAGGGAAGCGUCCCAGGAAGCAGGGACCUGGGGAAUGAAUGGGAACGAUCUAGACACUGGCUCCAGCAAGAGGAGGUACUCCAUGCAGCAAGAGUUAAGGCUCAGCCUUAGGACACAGAGACCCCACACAGGAGAGCAGUCUGAGAAAAGAGGCAGAAACUUGGAGAAGGCAGUGAAACCAGAACCAAGACCGUGGGAGCCAGCCUGGAGGCGCUGCAGGAGUGCCCCUCCCGCUGAGAAGGCAAGGGAAAGCAAGAAGGAACUCUCUUCAUCAGGCAGGUUUCUGUGGACUGAGGUUUGGGAGAUCACCCCAGGAGUGACCGAGCCAAAAGGUGCAGGCGUGGGAAUGAUCAACAUCCACAGGGCAGUGUGGCCCCCCCCACAGAGCAGACUCACCCUGGCUGCUCCGAUCAUAGACUGAUCCUGGGAUAAUGGCCUCCCGAGCAUCAUACAUGGCUGUUGUCAUGAAGCGGGCUCCCUGCAAAGGGUUUAGAUAGGUGAGGAAUUUAUCACCUUGACACAAGGAAGAACUUUCUAAAGAUGUGAUGGCUUGGCCACCUUCCAGGCCAUGACUAGGCCAACGCUGAGGCUUGCUGGGCCUUGCCCACCCCUCCUCCACAGACCUGGCCUUUGGUGCUGAAUGUUUGUCUCCAGGCUUCACAUCAAGCAGCAUCACCGCUUCUAAGUCCCCCAGAGCACCCCGGCUUCACAAGGUUUCCUAACUGCCUGUGUUCAACUCCUAGGCGCCACCCAUGACUUUGCAUCCCUAAAGGCCAUGUCCAAAAAGGCCUAAGAAUGCUUGUGAGACCUGGGCCGGGAGAGCUCUGGGGCAAAGGCCAGCGUGAUCACUCCAGUACACACACACGUGUGUGUUCACCCUCGGCUCACACUUACUACAGGUCAUACCUGCCACUGCCCAUUACCAUGUGCCAGGACACCAGCCUGGGGAGAAGGGGGUUCUUGGCACAGUCUUCCUCCACACCUUUCUGGCCACCCACAGCCAGUGCUCACCGGGUUGAUGGUGUUGACCAGCUUCCUGGGCUUGCUGAACUGCAUGAGGCUCUCCCGAAGGUUGUUCAAGGGCCCCUCCACCAGCACCUUCUGCUCCUUGUAGUAGUUCAGCAGGUGGUUCCAGAGUGGCUGCUUGGACAAGGCCUUUGGGUUGCCCACGAUAAUGACCCCAUACCUGCAAGGUGUGGGCCCAAGAACGCGGUGUUUAGGGUUCUGCACGGUGACCAGAACACCACAAAGAACAGUGUGAGGAGAGACUGAACAAACUCAAAAUCCACAUCCAAGGUGAGAGGAGCCAAGCCCAGGCCGCUCUCCUCUCAUCCCACCCACUAAAUCCCUCCCCAGACGCCUGGCCUGCCUGUGACAGUGCCCAACGUGAGGCCUGGGGAUGGACAGGUAGGCUGCUGGUCAUGGUGACCUGGCAAUGGAGCCCACCCUGCAAGCUGCCAACAGUGCACUGGAUAGAUCUGCAGGCAGUUUCUAAGGAAUCCAGGUGUCAAAACACAACAACGAGCAGACGAGCUCACAGACAAGUCUCUCUGCAGCCAUGAGUCGGCCUCCUGGGAAGUUAUCGGCAGUCUCAGCAGGCUCUGUGGCCUCAGGAACCCUGACAAGCUGAGGCAUGGAACUCAAUUCCGGCAGACGCUCACCCUCACCUAGCCGUGUCAAGACCCCCAAGUUGAACUUGGACCCCUACUGUUGGCCACCGAACGAGAGCACCUUAGAAGGGGCGGGGGGGGGGGGGGGUAACAGACAAAAACCAAGAUACCCUGACAGGGGAAGGAACCAACGUAUGAGGGCAGCUGUGGUCUGGUUUUACUCAAGGGUGACACAGGAGGCCACCUAAUUCUCUGGGUGCCCUCUGCUAUCAUCGUUUCAAAAAAGGUUACACUCCAGGACCAAAAGAUUAGAUUUCAUGGAUUAAAAGUCUCUACAGGGGCACAACCCAUGCUACUGUGUUUUGAUCUUAGGUCAAAAGGGCCGAGAUGACACGUCCCACAAAACAGGCCACAGAAACCCAACAGGACAAUAAACAAAAGUGUCUUGCAGGGAGGCAUUCUUUCUAGAUUGCUGCUUGUGAGUGCUCUGACCUCGGGCUGCUGAAGUCCCACCCCGCCCUGUAAGGGUGUGAUGCGAGGACUAAUCACAGGAAGAGGACGACCAGGCAAGGAUCAGCUCUCGGGUGGACCCUCCCAGCUCCAGAUUCCAAGGGAAAAGUCCCUCUGAAGAACUCCCAUGGCAGGAACGAGGCACCCGACCACUGGCAAGGUCCAAGGGGACUUAGUCCUCCAUACCUUGCUCUGGUCAGAGCCACAUUAAGCCGCCUGGGGUCGUUUAAAAACCCAAUGCCUUGGUGCUCGUUGGCUCGCACACAGGAAAGGAUGAUGAAGUCCUUCUCUCGUCCCUGGAACGCAUCCACACUGGCAAUCUCCACCUCCUACAAGGGACACAUGGUCAUAGUCAGCUGGCUGCCUUCAAGGACCCUCAGACUGUUGAACUGUGUUGAGACGCACCGUCCCAUCCCACCAGUAAGCCUGGGACCCAAAGCCUGCAGAGCCCCCUGCUCAGUGCACCUCUGGGGAGCGAGGAGGGGGCCCCUUUGGCUAGGCCUGCUCCCACUGGGCCUUCCCAGUCCCCAGCCCCACUCUCCUAGCCUUCCUGUGCUUUGGUUGUCUUUUUAACCUUGGCAAUUCGUUUCCCAACAAUAAAAGCAUACAUGCCUAUCAC